GAAACAUAACUGCAUUGAUCUUGUUCUUGUCUCCAGUGCCAACUUUUGUUCAGAUUUGGAAGAAAAGAUCAAUUGAGUAGUUCUCACCAGCACCAUAUUUAGCUACUCUUUUGAAUUACAUGUUGUGGAUCGUAUAUGGACUACCACUGGUUCAUCCACAUAGCAUGCUAGUUAUAACCAUUAAUGGAACUGGGUUUGUAAUAGAACUCACAUAUGUGAUUCUCUUCCUUCUCCACUCUAAUGGGAAGAAGAGAUCGAGAGUGCUGGUAAUGUUGAUGGUUGAGUUUGGAUUGGUUGCAUUCCUUGCUGUUCUUGUCCUUACUCUAGCUCACUCUGUUGCUCGUCGUUCUCUUAUAGUUGGAAGUGUUUGUGUCUCCUUUGGGACUUUGAUGUAUGCAGCUCCCUUAGCCGUCAUAAUUCCAAACAGUUUAGGAACGGUCUUUGGACUGGGGCAGCUGAUAUUAUACGCCACGUUCUAUAAAAACAUGCAAAGAUUGAUGAAGGAAAGGAAAGGCAAAGGGGAUAUAGGACUGGGAG